UACGUAGGGGGCAAGCGUUGUCCGGAAUCAUUGGGCGUAAAGAGCGUGUAGGCGGCUUGGUAAGUCCGCUGUGAAAGUCCAGGGCUCAACCCUGGAAAGCCGGUGGAAACUGUCAAGCUUGAGUCCGGAAGAGGCGAGUGGAAUUCCUGGUGUAGCGGUGAAAUGCGUAGAUAUCGUCUGGAACGCCGAAGGUGAAAACAGCUCGCUGGGGCCGCGCUGACGCUGAGACACGAAAGCCAGGGGAGCGAACGGG
rnacentral:rRNA from 1 species